GGGCGAAUAGCUCAGCCGGUCAGAGCACCUGUCUUACACACAGGGGGUCGGGGGUUCGAGUCCCUCUUCGCCCA
rnacentral:tRNA from 3 species